rnacentral:lncRNA from 1 species
GAAAAUUUGGCAAGAUUUAGUAUGGCUUAAUAUUUCAUAGAUUUUUCAUUUAAUUUUAGCAGAGGGUAUGUUUUGUUGCAAUGAAAUCCAUGAAAAAGGAAAAGAAGAAAUGGGACCAUCUCAUGGCUUUCCAACUCGAGUGAAGAAUAAAUCAUAUAAAAAUUAAGUUAUAGGCUUAUGCCCCUCAAAUAACUUUAUCAAUUAAAUUAGUCAACAUCAUUUUUUUUUUUUUUUGAGAAAUAUAAUAGUAAUGUGUAAUCAUGACUAUUUCAGUGGG